AUUUUAAAAUUUUGGUUUGUGAUACCAGAGAUCUUAUUGAGGAUAGGCUAUGUUUUUCUGCUAC
rnacentral:tRNA from 1 species